GAUGAACGCUGGCGGCGUGCCUAAUACAUGCAAGUCGAGCGAACAGACGAGGAGCUUGCUCCUCUGACGUUAGCGGCGGACGGGUGAGUAACACGUGGAUAACCUACCUAUAAGACUGGGAUAACUUCGGGAAACCGGAGCUAAUACCGGAUAAUAUAUUGAACCGCAUGGUUCAAUAGUGAAAGACGGUUUUGCUGUCACUUAUAGAUGGAUCCGCGCCGCAUUAGCUAGUUGGUAAGGUAACGGCUUACCAAGGCGACGAUGCGUAGCCGACCUGAGAGGGGGGAAGGGCCAAAGGGAAACGGGAAAACGGCCAAAACCCUAAGGGGAGGAAGAAUGGGGGAAAUUGCCCAAAGGGGGGAAAGCUGGACGAAGAAAACCGCGGGGGGGAAGAAGGGUUUUGGGAUGGAAAAACCUUUUUUUUGGGAAAAAAAAAAGGGGUAAAAAAAUAAGCAGGUCUGAAGGGAACCAAAGAAAAAACCAAGGCUAAAUUAGGG
rnacentral:rRNA from 1 species